rnacentral:rRNA from 1 species
AGUGAACGCUGGCGGUAGGCCUAACACAUGCAAGUCGAACGGCAGCACAGUGAGAGCUUGCUCUUACGGGUGGCGAGUGGCGGACGGGUGAGGAAUACAUCGGAAUCUACUUUUUCGUGGGGGAUAACGUAGGGAAACUUACGCUAAUACCGCAUACGACCUACGGGCGAAAGUAGGGGAUCUUCGGACCUUGCGCGAUUGAAUGAGCCGAUGUCGGAUUAGCUAGUUGGCGGGGUAAAGGCCCACCAAGGCGACGAUCCGUAGCUGGUCUGAGAGGAUGAUCAGCCACACUGGAACUGAGACACGGUCCAGACUCCUACGGGAGGCAGCAGUGGGGAAUAUUGGACAAUGGGCGCAAGCCUGAUCCAGCCAUACCGCGUGGGCGAAGAAGGCCUUCGGGUUGUAAAGCCCUUUUGUUGGGAAAGAAAAGCAGCAGGUUAAUACCCCGCUGUUCUGACGGUACCCAAAGAAUAAGCACCGGCUAACUUCGUG